ensembl:lncRNA
CCCUCUGAGAAACAGUCAGGAACAGGCUUUCUUGCUCCAGAUGUGGGAGGCAUCGUGCUCACGGGCCCUCGUCCUGGUGGGAGACUUCAACCAUCCAGACAUCUGUUGGAAAGACCACAUGGCGAGCUGCAAGAGGUCCAGAAGGCUCGUGGAAUCCAUUGAUGACAACUUUCUGGUCCAGGUAGUGGACAGACCAACCAGAGGUGAAGCGUUGCUGGACCUGCUGCUCACCAAUGCGGAAGAGAUCAUCAAAGAUGUCAACGUUGGAGGCAGCCUGGGCUGCAGCGACCAUGCCCUGGUUGAGUUUGUGAUCUCGAGGGAUGUGGGCCUGGCAAAGGGUGGGGUUAGGACCCUGAACUUUGGAAGUGCGAACUUUAAGCUGUUCAAUGGAUUGUUGGCCAAGAUCCCC